CUCUCUCUCAGCAAGCAUCCUUCACCUCUGGCAUCCAGCCCUGAACUCCUCUCCCCAAUGGCUCUUUUAACCCCUUCGAGACCGGGACGUACCUUAUACACCAUGGUUACAUGGCACCUGAUGACCGGGAAGUACCAUGUACGCCAUCGAUGAUGCGCGAUUCAGCGUUGCAGUGAACGCUGGGAUCGCGAGGGGAUGGCUGCUACUGACCGCUGGUUGACUCCGGUGAUCUGCAACAGCCGAUCCCCUCAGUUCCGUGCACGGAACUGAGAAAUGUAAAUGGGUACCUGUUCCUGGCCCUGAAGGGGUUAGUCACCUCAGCCAUGUGCUUUGCAGAGUACCAUCUGCUGGUCACUCCAUAAGAACUGCAGGUGAGUCAGUGACAGCAGCCAUCACUGAAAUCCCCUGAGGGGUUACACCUAGAAAGCUUUUUCUGCAGUAAUGUUGGUCUCAGGAACUCUUUUACAACUUUGUCUGAAAACUUAAUUCACGGUAAUUCCAAUUAUCCCCUUUUUUUAUUUGUUUUUUUCGCAGACCCCUCUCCCGUCCGCUAUCAUUAUCUGUUCCUUCUCCUGCUCAUCCUCCCGGUUUUGUUUGUGGUUUUCGUGUACCGGAGGCAUCAGAGCCGCAGUAAUGGAAGCAGACCCGCGACACGUGAGACGCGUGCCAGGAAGAGGACGCGUGAGCAGCAGUCCGCGCAGGACAGGGGAAAUGUACAUUAUGCCACCAUCUUCCAUGGUAAAAGUGUUGGAGAAACACCGAAGGAACUGCCGAGAAAAGGAGUCACAGAGGAAGAGCCCACGGAAUACGCUUCUGUGAAAAUACCCACAAGUUCCAACGCUGCUUCACAAGAACAGGACAUGGAAGAACCAUUCCUAUCCUACGCCACGUUCCAAGCGUCUCCCAUAGAGACAAAUAUUAAUGCCGUGGUACAAAGACAGCCUGAGCACCAGCUCCCAGAGGAAACCUACACACGUGUAAAAUGAGCAGGGGCAAUGCAACACAUCACAAAGAUCACCACGUUCAUUUAUUCAACAAUUUCACUUUGUUUACAGUUAUUCGUAAAAUAUUAGGUGUUGUAACUACUAAUGUUUCCA